UUAUUCUUAUUUUACAAAGGUAGUAUUAAAAUUUUAUAAAAACCUAUAUAGUUUGGCGGCAUUUUAUCAUAUUAGAGGAACCUGUCUUUUAAUCGUAACUCCACGUUAAAUCUUACUUUUAUUUAAAUUUUAUAUACCUCCAUCUUAAGAAUUAUUUAAAAAAAUUCCUCUAAACAUUACAAAUAAAAAGUUAGGUAAAGGUGUAGACUACAUAAAAGAUAAGAUGUGUUACAUUAAAUUAUAUUUAAGGAAGCAUUUUGAAAUAAAUUUUUAAAAAGGAUUUAUAAGUAAAAUUUAAAUAAUAAUUUAUUUUGAAUUUGAUAAUAAAUGUGUACA
rnacentral:rRNA from 1 species